UGAAGACGACUUUCUGAGAUCUGAUUCCCCCGGAGCUCGGACGGCGCGUGACGGCGCGUACCGGCGUCCGGAGGGCCCUCCUUCUAUUUCCCUUCUCGUUUUGCUGCCGCCGCUUCACCAGUCUUCUUACCUUCGAUAUGUACGGAGUCGUGGGCUAGGGUUUGACGCCAGUGAGUGCUCCGCUGCAGAGGCGCUUCUUCUCUGGUGGUCUCUCCGUCUCUCUGUGGCUUCGGCGAGUGGGUUAAGAGGUUGGUGGUGGCUGUAGUCGGUUUUUUGGGUUGAAUCGAGAUCGAUUUUUCACGGUUCGAUCUCGUCUAGCUUUCCUUUGUCUUCGAGUGGGAGGGUCGGCGUGGCUUCUACGGGUCAAUGUCGGUUCGCCGCUACAGGUCCAAGGGGUCGCUCGGCUUGGGAUCGAGUUUCUCGGCUCUCGUUGUUUCGUGAGCUCGGGUUCUCUUUCUAUUGGUGUGGUGUGUGCCGGUGGAUCCUUCUACCACGGCGGCGGGUUGUGGGUUUGAACACGCAGUAGGGAUGGUGCUCAAGCUCAGUGGCUGGCUCGCGCAAGGUCUAGCUCGUGGUUUAAAGGAUGGUCGUCUAUGCCGUCUCAGUGGCCGUGUGUUCUUCCUCCUCACCUCGAACCUCCUCUUCGCGGUUCAUGAUCUGUUUUCCCGGCUUGAUUCUAUCCGAAGUCGGCACGUCUUGUAGUGUUGUCGAAUUCAGUGGGUUUCGGUUGGGAAUUAGCCUUGUUCUUCAUUUCAUGCUUGCUGGUGCAAGCGAUGGCUUUAGCAGCUCCAGUUUCAGUUCGUCGGUUCUCGAUGGCUACAGACGUGUGAUGGUUCUCGUGUUUUUGACUGUCACAGCUUGCGUUCGGUCUUCGCUCACAUCCCAGCACUACAUGGGCUUACUUGAGCUUCUUGUGGUGGUGAGGGAGGCAAUUGUGUGCAGGUUGGGCUCAGAUUAUGGAGUACAGAGGUUGCAGCCUGUUUUCCUCGGAUCGGCACCAUGUACAGGUCGCAUCCGGGCAAAAUAAAAGCUCGAUUUGGUUGUUGAAGCUGUGUUAGGUCGCUGCUGUUGCUGUUUGUUUUGUGGUCAGGUGAUUGACGCUAUCGGCGAGCUGUUCUUAGGUGGGUCAUUAUCUUUAAGAGCGGAUUCAUCGGGGAGUCCAAAAUUAUCGGGUUCCGGCUCUCGGUUGAACUUGGUUCAUCUUUUUGCGGCAAGUUGUUGGUGUGAAUUAGUCGACUCCGGGACUGCAGUUGUGGUAGUGUGUUUGUCUGGCUUUUGCUUCUAAAUUGAGUCGUUGUUUAGUUUUUCUUGUUUUCUGCUUCGUGUUAUUCUCUGUAAUUCUGUCAAAAACGAAAAUUGGUAAUAAUAUCUUGAGAAAUUGGGACUCCUAUACAAGCAUAACCGCCUAAUUUGCAGAUAUGGAAAAGUGUAUUUUUCAUCGACACGCGCUUGAUUUUAUGACCAUUCUGCCCCUACGGAGAAAGUUAAAAAAAAACUUGUUUCUUUCUCUCUCUCUCUAUCUUUUCACAAAAACCUCCGACUCUAGAUCUCUAGGUCAUACGCCGGAGUUCCGAGAGCUCAGUCUCCCCAUCUUCCAAGGCAUAAUCAAAUGUGCCCCAGAUGGUUACGAAACAGAGCUCCAAUUAAUCUACAAACAGUUCAAAGCCUCCGUCGAUCUCUUCCGACAGCAACUGCUCUCAGCAUCUCUUCCGUCGGAGGCAUCGGUUCCGACCCUUCUGUUGCCAAAGACCUCGCAAUAUAGCCAUGCUCCUAGCUCACAUCACUCGGUUAUUUCCUCUUUCUCUCGCUCUUGAACCUAGAAAUCGAAGCCUUUAAGAAAAGUAAAAUCUUUCAUUCUUUGAUUCGUCUAUGGAAAACGAACAAACAAAAAAAAAGUAAUUUUGAAGAAGAGGAAAGAGUAAAGCUUUGAUUUUGAAUUUGCUCAAGGGGAGAAGAGAAGUUGGUCUCUUGUGUUCUUCCGUCGAAGCUUUGAUCUGAGUUAGUGCAGAUUCGGUUUGGAUUAGAUUGUGAAGGAAACAGAGUAUUACAGAGUCUGAGAUCAAGAGAGCUUACUACAUCAAGGCACGCCAAGUUCAUCCAGAUAAGAACCCUAAUGAUCCUCAAGCUGCACACAGUUUCCAGAGAGGAGAUUAAACGGAGAGGACUAAUAAGGAAGAGUCUGCUGCUGAUGAGAAAAAUGUGUUUCUUUUACCGGAGUUUGAAGAUGAGAUCAAGAAGUCAGAUUUAUUGGUGCAGAUGAUGAAUGUGAAACGCCGAAGUCAGAUUAUUUAUCUUUACAAUGUUAUAUCCGGCUAACAAGCGAUUCCUUAGAGAGCUAAUUUUAUGUUUGGCCCUACACAAAUUUAAUUAUAUGUGAUGUUAUUGGUUAUAGAGUUAAUUUUAUAUUUAGCCAACACCAUGGCGAUUAGUCACUAAAAUAACCAUACAUACUAUACUAUAGAUAUUGUUUUUAUAUACCA